rnacentral:rRNA from 1 species
UACGUAGGGUGCAAGCGUUGUCCGGAAUUAUUGGGCGUAAAGAGCUUGUAGGCGGCUUGUCGCGUCUGCUGUGAAAUUUCGGGGCUCAACCCCGAACUUGCAGUGGGUACGGGCAGACUAGAGUGUGGUAGGGGAGACUGGAAUUCCUGGUGUAGCGGUGAAAUGCGCAGAUAUCAGGAGGAACACCGAUGGCGAAGGCAGGUCUCUGGGCCAUAACUGACGCUGAGGAGCGAAAGCGUGGGGAGCGAACAGG